rnacentral:rRNA from 1 species
AUUGAACGCUGGCGGCAUGCCUUACACAUGCAAGUCGAACGGCAGCACGGGAGUAAUCCUGGUGGCGAGUGGCGAACGGGUGAGUAAUAUAUCGGAACGUGCCCAGUCGUGGGGGAUAACGUAGCGAAAGCUACGCUAAUACCGCAUACGAUCUACGGAUUAAAGCGGGGGAUCGCAAGACCUCGCGCGAUUGGAGCGGCCGAUAUCAGAUUAGCUAGUUGGUGAGGUAAAGGCUCACCAAGGCGACGAUCUGUAGCUGGUCUGAGAGGACGACCAGCCACACCGGAACUGAGACACGGUCCAGACUCCUACGGGAGGCAGGAGUGGGGAAUUUUGGACAAUGGGCGCAAGCCUGAUCCAGCAAUGCCGCGUGCAGGAUGAAGGCCUUCGGGUUGUAACCUGCUUUUGUACGGAACGAAACGGCUCUUUCUAAUACAAGGGGCUAAUGACGGUACCGUAAGAAUAAGCACCGGCUAACUACGUGCCAGCCGCCGCUGUAACAC